rnacentral:lncRNA from 1 species
AUAUCCAAUUUUAUAGACUCAUAGGGACUAAUAUCCUUCAUCACAAUUCAAUUUCACAAGGCCACAUAUAUUAUUACAUCUCAAUAUUGUUGGAUAGAAAAAGCCAGAUAUAUCAUACAUCGCUACAAUUUUAUUUUGCAGUCAUAUAGGACAAACAUAUUACUCUUCCACACAUUUCAUUUUUCUAGGCUCACAAGAAUAACAAACAUGAUCCCACAAUUUUACCAUCAAAACAAAUCAUUGCACAAUUAUUUUCAACGGACAAAAUUUUAAUUUGAUGUACUAGUAAGUGAACAGAAAAAACAUCACAAAAGAAUUGAAAUGACUCUGCAACUAAGUUGCCAAGCUGUAAAAGUCCAUCACAAAUUGAUAAUGAAUUCAAUCACUCAAUUAUUUUCUGUUUAUAUAUAACAUCUUUCAAUUCUUGAGCAGCUUUAUAUAUGCAAAGUUACUUGUAGUGAGAAAAGCCAGAUUUCACGGUUCAAUAUUCUAAUAAAUUUCAAAACAUGAACAAGAACACAUCAGAGAAAGAAAACUCUAUUUUAGAGCCAAGAGAUCCCUCACCGCAUUUCAACCACAUUGGGGCCAAACGAUCCUUCACCAUAUUUCAACGUCAUAAGGUCAAUUAAACCAUCAAACUUCAAUGUUC